UACCGAGGUCCCAAGCGUUGUUCGGAUUCACUGGGCGUAAAGGGCUCGUAGGCGGCCAACUAAGUCAGACGUGAAAUCCCUCGGCUUAACCGGGGAACUGCGUCUGAUACUGGAUGGCUUGAGGUUGGGAGAGGGAUGCGGAAUUCCAGGUGUAGCGGUGAAAUGCGUAGAUAUCUGGAGGAACACCGGUGGCGAAGGCGGCAUCCUGGACCAAUUCUGACGCUGAGGAGCGAAAGCCAGGGGAGCAAACGGG
rnacentral:rRNA from 1 species